rnacentral:rRNA from 1 species
GAUGAACGCUGGCGGCGUGCCUAAUACAUGCAAGUCGAGCGAACAGACGAGGAGCUUGCUCCUCUGACGUUAGCGGCGGACGGGUGAGUAACACGUGGAUAACCUACCUAUAAGACUGGGAUAACUUCGGGAAACCGGAGCUAAUACCGGAUAAUAUAUUGAACCGCAUGGUUCAAUAGUGAAAGACGGUUUUGCUGUCACUUAUAGAUGGAUCCGCGCCGCAUUAGCUAGUUGGUAAGGUAACGGCUUACCAAGGCAACGAUGCGUAGCCGAACUGAGAGGGUGAUAGGCCACCCUAGAACUGGGACACGGUCCAGACUCCUACGGGAGGCAGCAGUAGGGAAUCUUCCGCAAUGGGCGAAAGCCUGACGGAGCGACGCCGCGUGAGUGAUGAAGGUCUUCGGAUCGUAAAGCUCUGUUAUUAGGGAAGAACAAAUGUGUAAGUAACUAUGCACGUCUUGACGGUACCUAAUCAGAAAGCCACGGCUAACUACGUG